AGCUAGCUACUCGGCGGGAUCUCCCGGCAGGAUGGGUAAAAAGAUAAAGAAGGAAGUAGAGCCUCCUCCUAAGGAUGUGGUGAGGAAAAUAAAACAACCCUCCUUGAACUUGGAGCUGUGGAACCUUUAACUAAGCUACUCACCCAUGAAGACAAAAUUGUAAGAAGAAAUGCUACUAUGAUAUUUGGAAUCCUGGCUUCUAAUAAUGACGUUAAAAAAUUGUUAAGGGAGUUAGAUGUCAUGAAUUCUGUCAUUGCCCAGCUUGCUCCAGAAGGAAUUGAAUGACCUUCAUAUAGAAGCACUUGCAGUGAUAGCCAAUUGCCUUGAAGACAUGGAUACUGUGGUGCAGAUUCAGCAGACAGGGGGUCUUAAAAAGCUCCUGUCAUUUGCAGAAAACUCUACAAUUCCUGAUAUUCAGAAGAAUGCAGCAAAAGCCAUUACUAAAGCAGCUUAUGAUCCUGAAAAUAGAAAACUUUUUCAUGAACAAGAGGUUGAAAAGUGCCUUGUAGCCCUUUUGGGUUCUGAAAAUGAUGGAACUAAAAUUGCUGCUUCCCAAGCUAUUUCAGCAAUGU
rnacentral:sRNA from 1 species